rnacentral:misc_RNA from 1 species
GAUGAAGAACGUAGCGAAAUGCGAUAAGUAAUGUGAAUUGCAGAAUUCAGUGAAUCAUCGAAUCUUUGAACGCACAUUGCGCCCGCCAGUAUUCUGGCGGGCAUGCCUGUUCGAGCGUCAUUACAACCCUCAGGCCCCCGGGCCUGGCGUUGGGGAUCGGCGGAGCCCCCCGUGGGCACACGCCGUCCCCCAAAUGCAGUGGCGGUCCCGCCGCAGCUUCCAUCGCGUAGUAGCUAACACCUCGCGACUGGAGAGCGGCGCGGCCACGCCGUAAAACACCCAACUCUUCUGAAGUUGACCUCGAAUCAGGUAGGAAUACUCGCUGAACUUAAGCAUAUCAAUAAGCGGAGGA